AAUGAAUCAUCUCAAAACUCAUGGCACAGAAGCCAAAGCAUUGGCAGUUGCCUCGACUGCAAUGUGAAAGUAUUAUGCAAGGCCUCCUUUCUUUCCUGCAUCCUUUACGGACUUUUGGACCUAUUAGGAAUGCAAAAACCAGCUUGUUGCUGCACCGGAAGGAGUAAGAGGUAAUCUACACUGCCUCCAAAUGUUUGGCUAGCCUUGUUCUGCAGAGCGGAUCAUGUUUGUGCUUAUCCAAAGAUUUAUAUAUAAAAGGAGAAUAGGCACAGAACCCUUUUGCUGGAAAAUCACCAGAAUGUGCUGAGCGUUCUCAAGGAUAUGACAGUUAUGAUCUCCCAAAAUGAAUCGCAAUAACAAAGAAAAUGAACAGCAGACUCAGCCAUCAGACUUACAAACUAAAAAUACAAGAUACACAGGGGAAGGGAUGCGGAAGGGAAAGGCAGAGGAGGAUGAUCAGUUUUCCAAGGUCGGAAGGUCACCACUUCUGCAUCUCCCGAAAGCAGGAAAUUAAUCACCAAACAAGAAGACUAAAGCAGCCAGAACUCCCUGAGAGACACCUUUCAUUGGUUGUUUCCAUCUCCUGUUUGCUGGCAUCACAGAACCCUGCCUCCCUGCAACUACAUCAACAUCACAUGUAUGAGGCUGAUGGAAUAAGUGAUCUGAAUCAGCCAUCAGAACAAGCAGAGGCGUCAGUACAUCAAGAGCAGUGAAGAAAAGGGGAAGGCAAU